ACUUCUUAGAGGGAUAAGCGGUGUUUAACCGCACGAGAUUGAGCGAUAACAGGUCUGUGAUGCCCUUAGAUGUCCGGGGCUGCACGCGCGCUACACUGGAAAAAUCAGCUGGUCUUCCAUUGCCGAAAGGUAUUGGCAAACCGUUGAAACUUUUCCGUGACCGGGAUAGGGAAUUGUAAUUAUUUCCCUUGAACGAGGAAUUCCUAGUAAGUGUGAGUCAUCAGCUCACGUUGAUUACGUCCCUGCCCUUUGUACUGAGCG
rnacentral:rRNA from 2 species